GGGCUCGUAGCUCAGCCUGGUUAGAGCGCACGCCUGAUAAGCGUGAGGUCGGUGGUUCGAAUCCACCCGAGCCCA
rnacentral:tRNA from 1 species